GUGAGAUACAUUUCUCUAAGUGCAUCUUGUGGCUGCAAGUGGGAGAGGCAGGGCCUGAAUCUGGCCAAGAGAUCUCAGGACAAAGCUAAAUCGCAUUUCCAAAGCCAGUCCUUAGACUUGUUCAAGUGUAAGCAGCUUUCACUAAACAGAAGUUUGAUGAGCCGAGCAGGAGUGAAUCAGAAACACGAGGCUGAUGUUUGUCUUCAUCUGCAAGGGGGUUUGGCAGUCUCCAGGCUCCCUUGGCAAGCAGGAUUUGGGCGCUGCCAAAACCUGGAGCUCUGGCGUGAUAGCGUGACCCUUCCGGUCAGGCCAGGCCUCCCGCCCGCCUUCCUGCUGUUCAAAUCAGAGUCUCGGCCUCUCAUGGCCUCUCCUGCUGCUUCACCCUUGAGCCCCGAGGACAGAGUGGCAGGAGGCGUCUCUGUAACCACAUCACGUGUGGGGGAAAAAUGGCACAGAGCGCUCUUUCCUGGAGCGCGGUCAAUGCAGCAGUACCCCAGGUGCCAGGAAACCCAAGCCUUGGAAACUGUGGCUGCAGGUUCCAUCCCCAGGUUGUGGGUGUGGACCACAUUUGCACCAGCAGCUGGACAAAGAUGGGAGUCGUGUAGCUAACCUGAAGUGCUAUACUGCCUUCCUUUAGUGACACUCAGAAGAAAAUUAAAUCUUAGGGUCAGCCGUCUUUUGAAGACAUGGUUGUCCUGAAUCCACAGGGGAGGAUGGCGAACGACAGGAGUCCUCCCUGCUGCAAUCUUGAAGUGCACCCUCGUUUCAGAAGAGCAGCUCACUUCUCCAGACAAGAGUGCUGCUGAAUUUUAAAGAGGAUUCCACAUCUAUGCUAAAGGAACAUCAGAGGCGCCUUUGGACUGCUCAUGACUGGGGACUAAUUCUCGACCUGGAAGGAAGCAGGCACGAUGCUUCUUCAUUGGGAACGAUGCCUAUCAUUGCGUCAAGACUCUUUGCAUACCUUUAAGGUCAGUUCACCUUUGCUGAGCUUGAAUCCAAGCUACAGGUUGGGGGCCCAGCUCUGCUUUACCAGUCUCUGCUUAUCCAUGGACCAGUGGGCCGACUGGAACAUACUCUUCUCACGGCGAGGGCAGAAGUCAG
ensembl:lncRNA